rnacentral:rRNA from 1 species
AUUGAACGCUAGCGGGAUGCUUUACACAUGCAAGUCGAACGGCAGCGCGGACUUCGGUCUGGCGGCGAGUGGCGAACGGGUGAGUAAUGUAUCGGAACGUGCCCAGUAGCGGGGGAUAACUACGCGAAAGCGUAGCUAAUACCGCAUACGCCCUACGGGGGAAAGCAGGGGAUCGUAAGACCUUGCACUAUUUGAGCGGCCGAUAUCGGAUUAGCUAGUUGGUGAGGUAACGGCUCACCAAGGCGACGAUCCGUAGCUGGUUUGAGAGGACGACCAGCCACACUGGGACUGAGACACGGCCCAGACUCCUACGGGAGGCAGCAGUGGGGAAUUUUGGACAAUGGGGGAAACCCUGAUCCAGCCAUCCCGCGUGUGCGAUGAAGGCCUUCGGGUUGUAAAGCACUUUUGGCAGGAAAGAAACGUCGCGGGCUAAUACCCCGUGGAACUGACGGUACCUGCAGAAUAAGCACCGGCUAACUACGUG